rnacentral:lncRNA from 1 species
AGUUGGCCGGACUUCAGCUAAAUGACAGAGGGAAAGAAAUCCUAUCAGAAACCUAAAGGAGUUCGGCGCUACAGAAACUAGAAAAAUGUUUAAAAAGCAAAAAAGAGCAACCACAAAAAGUGGGACUAGAAGUCAAAGUCCGAUGCGGAAGGCUUCUUGGUAUAAACAAAAGCGGCCAGGAGAAGGGAUGCUAGCCCGGUCAGUUGGCUCGAGAAGCUCAAGCUGAUACUCCGAAAAAACCCUGUACUGAAUCCUAAUCAGCGAGAGUCCGUUCGAGGUCAAAGAGCUGGGAAUGGUGUCUGGUACAAAGACCGAACGAGGUCCGAUCCUAAGUAUGGGUUCAUCUAUAGUACUAGGAUUUUGGGGGGCUUGAGCUGACGAACUUUUAGAACUGCU